rnacentral:tRNA from 1 species
GGGGCCAUAGCUCAGCUGGGAGAGCGCCUGCUUUGCACGCAGGAGGUCGUCGGUUCGAUCCCGUCUGGCUCCACCA